GCUCAUCACAUCCUGGGGCUGAAGUAGGUCCCAAGGGUAUGGCUGUUCGCCAUUUAAAGUGGUACGCGAGCUGGGUUUAGAACGUCGUGAGACAGUUCGGUCCCUAUCUGCCGUGGGCGCUGGAGAAUUGAGGGGGGCUGCUCCUAGUACGAGAGGACCGGAGUGGACGCAUCACUGGUGUUCGGGUUGUCAUGCCAAUGGCACUGCCCGGUAGCUAAAUGCGGAAGAGAUAAGUGCUGAAAGCAUCUAAGCACGAAACUUGCCCCGAGAUGAGUUCUCCCUGAGACUUUAAGUCUCCUGAAGGAACGUUGAAGACGACGACGUUGAUAGGCCGGGUGUGUAAGCGCAGCGAUGCGUUGAGCUAACCGGUACUAAUGAACCGUGAGGCUUAACCUUACAACGCCGAAG
rnacentral:rRNA from 1 species